rnacentral:tRNA from 1 species
CGCUAAGAAGCUAAAUAGGGCAUAAGCGUUAGCCUUUUAAGCUAAAGAUAGGUGUUUCCCAUCCACCCCUAGCGA